rnacentral:rRNA from 1 species
UACGGAGGGUGCAAGCGUUAAUCGGAAUUACUGGGCGUAAAGCGCGCGUAGGCGGCUAUUUAAGUCGGAUGUGAAAGCCCAGGGCUUAACCUUGGAAUUGCAUUCGAUACUGGGUAGCUAGAGUAUGGUAGAGGAUAGUGGAAUUUCCGGUGUAGCGGUGAAAUGCGUAGAGAUCGGAAGGAACAUCAGUGGCGAAGGCGACUGUCUGGACCAAUACUGACGCUGAGGUGCGAAAGCGUGGGGAGCAAACAGG